AAAGCUUCCUGUGAACCAAAGCUAAAUACUAAAACAAACUCUCUCGAUUGCUAUGGCAGCUUCAUAAUGGAGCUCACCUUCCAGCAGUCCUAAAUAUGCAGAGUUCCUGGUGAAGGGCCUUGGGUGUUGAUUCCAGGAGGCUAAUAAUGAGGAGUGAGGGAAGGGGGCCAGGGCCACGAGGGUUAUCUCACAGUCCCAGAUGCUGGAUAAGUUGGAGGAGGCAGAAUCACUUUUGGAUGACAUUCAGAAAGUCCUGAAUGCUUAUUGGGAGAAGAAAAGACUCUCCUUUCCAAGGUGUGGCAUCUCUUCCCUUGCCCGUCCAGUGAUGAUCACAGACAGUCUGCCAGCAUCUCGUGAGACAAAGGAUUCGCUCCUGAGCCCCACCACACCUAAAAAAAAUGCUUUGAAGGGCUUGCCAAGCUCACUUUUAAUCAUGGGAAAGAAAUUACCCACAUGGAGUCAGCAGAAAAUGAAAAAGUGGGCCUCGUGCUGAGAUAAUUCCAGCAAGUGCCAAGGGGCUAGUUGAGAUAUGGCUUCAUGAGGUGAAUAUCUUUAGCUCUUACUUAGGGUUUAGUUACUGUAUAAUCAUUCUCUCUUUUAGGAGCAAUGAAUAUCCCAAGUGUGUUUCCUAACCAAAGCUCUGUCUCUCUCCAAGCAUUUCUCGGGAUAGUGACGGAUUCCAUAGGAAAUGGGGGCUCUGGGGCCCUGUUGUGGUUUUCUUCUACUCAGGACAAGUUUGCAAAUAAGCAGAAUCUCAUUGAGCGACAACCCCAAGCCAGUGACUGCCACUAGCUGUGUGUAUUUGUCUAUCUGUUUGAGUAUUUGUCUAGUACUUUAUGUCUCCAUGUGUAUAUAUGUAUCUUUGUUCAUGUCCUCGUCCCCUCCUUAGGGGAAUAUGUUAGGAGGAUUGGAUAGCAGGUGGGUUUUGUCUGACCUGGGGUGGGGGGAGUGGUUGGGGAAGGACCAAAGGUGUGAUUUUUUUGGGGGGGUGGGGAGAAGGAGAAAAGGUGCGUGUCACCUUGAUAAUUAAUGAUAAAUCUUAAUUUUCAAUCCAUGUUAAAGGAGAGAGGGGGGACAUCCCCUGAGGACACUAACCUACCCCACCUUCCCUUUGGGGGACCACAAUUCCAAUUAAACAUCAGUUUCAGUGUGAAAUUGGUUUGAC
rnacentral:lncRNA from 1 species